GGUCAGGCACGAGGGGUUACAGGGAAUGGGGUGACACCAGACUGGUCACCUGUCACUGGGGGGUUCCACAGGGCUCCAUGCUCAGCCCUGUGCUCUUCAACAGCUUCAUAAAUGGCUUGGACACAGGACUGGAAGGGUUACUAAGUAAGGUCAGAUGAUACAGAACUGGGAGGAGCAGCUGACUCCCUCAAAGGCAGGAAGGCUCUGCAGAGAGGCCUUGACAAAUGAGAGGACCGGGCAGGCACCAACUGCAUGAAAUUCAACAAGGGCAAGUGCUGGGUUCUGCACCUGGGAUGGGGCAACCCUGGGUGUACAGACAGACAGACAAAUGAAUGACAGGCUGGAAAGCAGAAAUGAGUGCAGGAAAGGGACCUGGGGAUCCUGGUCAAUGGCCAGCUGAACAGGAGCCAGCAGUGCCCUGGCAGCCAGGAGGGCCCCGUGCCCUGGGAGCAUCAGGCACAGCAUCACAGCCGGGCAAGGGAGGGGAUUGUCCUGCUCUGCUCUGCACUGGGGCAGCCUCACCUCGAGUGCUGGGGGCAGUUCUGGUGCCACAACACAAAAAAGACAUUGAGCUGUUAGAGAGUGUGCAGAGGAGGGUAACAAGGAUGGUGCAGGGCCUUGGGGUGAAGCCGUGUGAGGAGUGGCUGAGGUCCCUUGGUCUGUUCAGCCUGGAGAAGAGGAGCCUGAGGGGAGACCUCACUGCAGCUACAGCUUCCUUGUGAGAGGAAGAGGAGGGACAGACACUGAUCUCUUCUCAAUGAUUAACACCUUGGCUCCUUCUACCAUACUUUUACCCAACUGAAACAAUCUGCUAUAUGCUGGGAAACCAAAAUGAUAGAGAACUUCACACUCAGGUAACACUUUUGGAGUGGAAGACUGGAUAAUUAAAAACCCUGGCUGACAGGAGAAGGUCAAGCAUGCUGUCCUGGGGCUACAUCAUUUGCAAGGCCAUUGGCAGCAUAUACCAACAUUUUUCUAUACCAACUAGUGAAACAGGAUAUCCAAAGUGACAUCUUCCUUGGCUGCAAGUCAGGCAUCUUAUCUGAAAAGUACUUGGCCAGGUGUUUACCUCCAAGAUUCACUGAAGUGACUGGAAGGAUAGAUGAUCUUUCCUCUUCCUACAACUAAUCUUGAUGGCAGACAGAAGAAAGCUCCCAUUUCAAGAGAUCAAUGUCUGUCUUCCUUAUGAAUUGUAGUGCUAAGCAAGUACCCUGCCUCUUGCAGUGCUGGAUGUCCUGGAUAUAUUUUGGAGAAAAAAAAUAACAACAAACCACCAUCCACCCUAUCCCUUCCUAUUUUCUUUACUACAUCUCUAUGAAAUGAGAUGCAUACAGUGCCUCAGGAUCUUAGCGGAUGGAGAGAGAGAGGAUCUAUUACUGCACUGCUUGUGGAAGAGCCAUUGCAGAGGCAACACCCUUGCAGAGCUGGAUCCUCAGAGAGUUUCUGUUGGGAAACCAAUUUUAUGGUUCCUCCACUGAAGGAAAUCUGUCAGUAUUUGUGAAUUAUGUGGAGGGUGUUGAGUGAUAUGUCUGGAGAAAGUUAGAUGGGUUUGAGUUUGGGGUUUUGUUGGGUUUUUUUAAUUGGUUUUGUAGAGGGUUUGUUUGGGUUUGGGAUCAUUCCUCUGUCUCUCUCUCUUUUUUCCUCUAAGAAGACAGUGGGAUCAUCCUCACUGUUUUGAAAUCUUGCACCAACUUUCUUGCAAUAGAAGACACAUUUUAGUUUUUAGACCAGUUUACAACAACCAAGCUAAAAACAACUCUCUGAAGCUUGGUAAAGUUACCAGCUGUGCAAAUCCAGCUAUGCAUGAGCUGAAAGAGUUCUGAGGCUUAGAAGCAUCUGUGAGAGCUCCCAUUUGAUUAAGCUGACAUUCAGCAUCUAUUCAUCUGCAAGAUCCAUCUAUGGCCAGAAGUCCCCUUCUUUUUUGUCUCACAGCUAUAUUAAAACUUGCAAGUAUUUGUAAGGAAGAUCCAGACAUCACAAAAGGAUUUUCCAAUAUUAUUCUUGUCUAAAUGGCAACAUACUUUUAAUCAACAUGGACUCCUCUCUUUCAGUUUCAAACUUCAUCUGUUGCUACAAGCAUUUUUGUAUUUGCCUCUGUGGAAUUCUCCACAGUGGAACUUUGCCAUUUGUUUGGUCUCUGGCUGCCUUCUCUCAGGGAGAGAUAACUGUGGAAGACUGUAAGGACUGAAGUUCUUCAGUGAGAUUUCCAAAGCAAAUAGAGAAAUUGCAGAAACUCUCAGGAAUUUAGGAAUAGAAGUAAAAUAGCAAAGAUUAAAUAUUCAGGUAAAUUAAUUUUAGAAAUACAUUAUUUUCAUCUUAAAUCUUGCAAACAAGUUGUCUACAGCAUUAUCUUUUUAUUUAGCUUUCUUAAUGCUAGAUAGAGAACAGCCUUCAAAUUUUUAUGGUCUUUGUACCCAUCCAGGUCAGUUGCUGUGGCCAAGGAAGUUAUAUUGGAUGUAUAGAGAGACCUCAAACCUUGAAACCAACAUAAUAAGGAAAGUGAAAAGAAAGCUACAUAAAGAGGAGCAUAGAAAUCCAAAGUCUUAAUAAAAGUUUUUGGAUUUUUUGCACUAUAACUCGAUAGAGCUCAGAGGUUACUUUGGACAAAAGGUAUAAUGGGCCAAAGGCAUUAUCUCAAUGUAGUGUAAAAAUAGUACUAAUAAAGGUAAUACACUGACAUAUCAACCUUUUUAAAUUAAAAUACCUCACCCAACCCAACUUCUUUUCCCCACAAAAAAACCCAAAACAAAACAAAAAAAAACCCCAAAACAAACAAACAAAAAAACAAAAACAAAAAUAACCAAAAAACCCCCAACUCUGAAAAAAACCCAAAAAAGGCAGGAACUGUCGUGACAAAGGCUUUGGUUAUAUGAGAAUUGUGCACUUCCUUGUUUUUCUUGUUUAUCCUGUGUGACCCUGACUGCCAAGGUUGUGUCAAGGAUAUGCAGGCAAUGUAUCUGAAAGGUUAUGUCUUGAAACGCGAUAUGAAGAUUCCACACGCUUAGCAGAGAGCUGCCAAAAGAUUGCUGGUAGAAGUACUGGUAGGGCAGCCGGUGGCCUAUGAACUUAGGGGUCCAGUCUAGAUUGAAACCUUGAAAUUCCAUGAUAGUUUCAUACGGCAAACUUGGUGGAUGAGUUUCCCCCAUGCUUUUAAACUUAUAGAUUGAAGUGCCUUUGUGAGUAGGAAUUGUCUCACUGGGUUCAGUGACACCCUAAAAACAAGACAACCCCAAUCUUUUCUAACCAGAGUAAACUUAUCUUGCCUUAUUGCCAUUACAGAUCUACACUACUAGUAAUAAAGAAAUAAAGUAAUAAACAGAGAAGAGUGUAUUGCACCUAUUGAUUUCAAGAGCCUGUUGCUUUAAUAUGCUGCCUUCUGUUUAAUUCUCUGGUGGAUGUCACAUAGUUUGAAGCAGAGUGACCAAGAUAACUGCACAGAUGAACAUACUUGUGUAAACAAAAGUGAUUCAGUACACCUCAAACAAAAUCUGGAGGAGUUCUCUUCUGUUACUGAAGCGAAGGAAAAGACCUAAUAAUGUAUAAACACCUUACAUUAAGUAACCAAAAUUUGUUAAGGGAAAAAAGGUAAAUUGCACUUAAAUAUUGGAAAGCAAAAGCACAGAACUUGAUAGGCCAGCUGGUGAAACUGCUGACCUUUAAUUCUUGCUCCUUAUGGGAUUAGUCUCCCAAGUGCUGUAUUAUUCCAUUAUUUCUGGAAAAAAAAUGUUUUGUUCAUUCUUUCUGUUACAGAAGAACUUUUGAAGUAAUUAUCUUUUUCUUUCCUCUUUUAAAAAUACUGUAGGCUAUUUUUUUAACACCUCUUUCUUUUCCACAAAAACAGACUGGGAACAGGACGAGCCCAGGACUAACUUCACAUGAGAUAUUUAACAAUGGCAUUAGUUCUCAAACAGUGUCUGGCACUUGCAUCAUUGACCUGCUCUCUGUCUGGUUUGCUUUCAAACCCCACAAGAAACAGUUUCAUGUUUUCUUGGUAAUUUUACACUUGCACAGUGUUGCCUGAUUGCAGAAGUUCAGACUGUCUCUGACUCACAGAGGAAGAAGCUAUGCACCAAGCUGCCCAGGGUUCUUCCCAGACAAUAAGACAAGAAAAAGGCUGUAGGAAAGUACACACUUACUGCUUUCAACAGGGUUCUGAGCCCAGUUUUCCUGCUUUCUCAAGGAGAGUAUCCUGUCACUGAAAGAAUGAAGUUGAUGAAUAGGUAGCUAUUAUAGCAUGUACCUGGAAAGGAGCAGGAGAAGAAAUCUGCUUGUUGGUGCUUGCUCUAAGUGUCUUUAUGUUUAAAUCUUCUGAGGACACAGAGAAAAUUAGCCAGCUAAACCUUCCAGAAAUGAAAAGUAUCUUUCUCCUACAAACAUCAUUGCUACCCUGCUUUAGCAUUAAUUCAAAUGUUCUUCCCCUCUCAACUGCCUGAAAAUAAAAGGAAAUGUCUAUUUACAGGUGUGCAUGAUGUACAUCCAUCCCUGAUGGGUUAGAAAUCAAAUCUCAGUGAAAAUAGUGGUAUUUCCUAUAAAUUACUUUGGAUAAAUAACUUCAUUGUUCUCAGAGACUUUCAUUCCAUAUGAAAGUUAUCUAGCAGAAAUGCCAGGACCUACAACAUAAACAAUUUAUUUCUAUCAAGAUUUUCUGACAGUCUUCUUGGAAGUUAUUUGGAACAAUAAUACACAUGGAAGGAUUGUAUUCUGGUUCUCUUUAAGUGAAUUAAACAGAGUAGUGGGAAAAUGUUUCUUCAUUCAGAAAAUCAAAUCACCACACUCUUUGCUGGGCUCAUUUUUGCAGCUACUUUGUACCCAGCCGUGUUGCUCAGCCUUUUGUAUUUCUCAUGCACUCAGCUGAUCUGAGCCAGAGCUAUUCAAAAAACUGUGAAACAUGAAAAGUGUGAGGUGCAGAGCAAAUCGCAUGAGUCAUAGGGGGUAGAACUUCAUAUCCUGAAUUUUGCAUUCAAAUACCACCAGCGAGUCUCUGGCCAUUUCAUACACACAUAAGAAAUAUUUUCUCAAUUUUUUUUUUUUUGGUGUAGUCAUUUGUGAAUAUUGUGUACUACAGCUGCAGAUCUUUGAGCAGAAAGCUGGGGAAGUAGAGGUUCACAUGAGUGAAAUGUGGGCAACAAAGGGAUGCCCUCGUGCUGCUACCAGACACCACUCUUGCAUUGUCUGCAGAUAUGGUCUAUUUCCUCUCCAUGGCAGAUGUGGGCACAGCCUUCAAGGGACAACCCAGAUGUAUCCACAACCCACUAAUAGAGAGGCUGAGGAUCAAACCCUCUCUGUCCUAUUUUUACCUCUCUGAAAUUCAUUGCAAAAAUUAUUUGAAAGGCCUACCUGCUUUUUUGCCCAUCUCUCUUGUUCCCC